rnacentral:sRNA from 1 species
AACUCAGGAAUCCUCGAAGUUACAGAAAC